rnacentral:rRNA from 1 species
GCUCGUAGGUGGUUUGUCGCGCUGUUCGUGAAAUCUCACGGCUUAACUGUGAGCGUGCGGGCGAUACGGGCAGACUUGAGUACUGCAGGGGAGACUGGAAUUCCUGGUGUAGCGGUGGAAUGCGCAGAUAUCAGGAGGAACACCGGUGGCGAAGGCGGGUCUCUGGGCAGUAACUGACGCUGAGGAGCGAAAGCGUGGGGAGCGAACAGGAUUAGAUACCCUGGUAGUCCACGCCGUAAACGGUGGGUACUAGGUGUGGGUUUCCUUCCUUGGGAUCCGUGCCGUAGCUAACGCAUUAAGUACCCCGCCUGGGGAGUACGGCCGCAAGGCUAAAACUCAAAGAAAUUGACGGGGGCCCGCACAAGCGGCGGAGCAUGUGGAUUAAUUCGAUGCAACGCGAAGAACCUUACCUGGGUUUGACAUGCACAGGACGCCGGCAGAGAUGUCGGUUCCCUUGUGGCCUGUGUGCAGGUGGUGCAUGGCUGUCGUCAGCUCGUGUCGUGAGAUGUUCGGUUAAGUCCCGCAACGAGCGCAACCCUUGUCUCAUGUUGCCAGCGGGUAAUGCCGGGGACUCGUGAGAGACUGCCGGGGUCAACUCGGAGGAAGGUGGGGAUGACGUCAAGUCAUCAUGCCCCUUAUGUCCAGGGCUUCACACAUGCUACAAUGGCCGGUACAAAGGGCUGCGAUGCCGCGAGGUUAAGCGAAUCCUUUUAAAGCCGGUCUCAGUUCGGAUCGGGGUCUGCAACUCGACCCCGUGAAGUCGGAGUCGCUAGUAAUCGCAGAUCAGCAACGCUGCGGUGAAUACGUUCCCG